GCUGGAGCUAUCAGAAGUGCGAAUGCUGACAUGAGUAGCGUUAAAGGGGGUGAAAAGCCCCCUCGCCGAAAGCGCAAGGUUUCCUACGCAACGUUCAUCGGCGUAGGGUGAGUCGGCCCCUAAGGCGAGGCAGAGAUGCGUAGCUGAUGGGAAACAGGUCAAUAUUCCUGUACCGAUCAAUAGUGCGAUGUGGGGACGGAGAAGGUUAGCUCAGCCGGGUGUUGGAUGUCCCGGUUCAAGCCUGUAGUCGUGCCUGGUAGGCAAAUCCGCCGGGCUUAGAUGAGGGGUGAUAACGAGGAGGCUUGCCUCCGAAGUGAGUGAUACCCUGCUUCCAGGAAAAGCCACUAAGCUUCAGCUAUUGACGACCGUACCGCAAACCGACACUGGUGCGCGAGAUGAGUAUUCUAAGGCGCUUGAGAGAACUCUGGAGAAGGAACUCGGCAAAUUGACACCGUAACUUCGGAAGAAGGUGUGCCUUUAGUAGGUGUAGUUGUACAAACGAAGCCCAAUGAGGCCGCAGAGAAUCGGUGGCUGCAACUGUUUAUUAAAAACACAGCACUCUGCAAAGACGAAAGUCGACGUAUAGGGUGUGACUCCUGCCCGGUGCUGGAAGAUUAAAUGAUGGGGUGCAAGCUCUUGACUGAAGUCCCAGUAAACGGCGGCCGUAACUAUAACGGUCCUAAG
rnacentral:rRNA from 13 species